GGGAGGGGAGUGAAAGAGAACCUGAAACCCUGUGUUUACAAGCAGACAAAGCACGUUAAGGUGCGAUGUCGUACUUUUUGUAGAACGGUCCGGCGAGUUAUUUUAUAUGGCAAGGUUAAGUACUAUUAAGGUACGAAGCCGAAGCGAGAGCGAGUCUGAAAAGGGCGAGUAAGUCAUAUGAAAUAGACCCGAAACCGAGUGACCUAUCCAUGGUCAGGAUGAAGCUUGAGUAAAAUCAAGUGGAGGUCCGAACCCAUAAGCGUUAAAAAGCUUCGGGAUGAACUGUGGAUAGCGGAGAAAUUCCAAUCGAACUCGGAGAUAGCUGGUUCUCCUCGAAAUAGUUUUAGGACUAGCCUUGUUUAGUAGUAUGUGGGGGUAGAGCACUGAAUGAGCUAGGGGCCAAACCAGGUUACUGAACUCUAUCAAACUCCGAAUACCAUGUACGUAAGAACAGGAGUCAGACUGCGGGAGCUAAGUUCCGUGGUCAAAAGGGAAAGAGCCCAGAUCGUCAAUUAAGGUCCCAAAGAUAUAGUUAAGUGGAAAACGAUGUGAUUUUGCGUAAACAACCAGGAUGUUGGCUUAGAAGCAGCCAUUCAUUUAAAGAGUGCGUAAUAGCUCACUGGUCGAGUGGAGUUGCGCGGAAAAUUACCGGGGCUAAACUAUACACCGAAAUUGCGGAUUCAUGAGUAAUCAUGAGUGGUAGAGGAGCAUUCUAUAGUAGGACGAAGGUAGAUCGAAAGGACUGCUGGACGAGAUAGAAGAGAGAAUGCCGGAAUAAGUAGCGAAAGCAUGGUGAGAAUCCAUGCCAUCGAAAGUCUAAGGUUUCCUGGGGAAGGUUCGUCCGCCCAGGGUAAGUCGGGACCUAAGGAGAGGCCGAAAGGCGUAUCUGAUGGACAGCAGGUAGAAAUUCCUGCACCACCGAUAUACUUAAAAAAUGCAAGGGACACAGUAGUGGAAGGAAAGCGAGGAAGAGGAAAGACUCGUAUCGAAAGAUAUAGUGAAAAAAUAAGUAACGAAUUUCCAAGAAGCACACUGGCGAGAAAAGCUUGUAGGAAUUGUAUAAAGGUGCCCGUACCGCAAACCGACACAGGUAGAUGAGGAGAGGAUCCUAAGAUGAGCGAGAGAAGCAUUGUUAAGGAACUCGGCAAAUUGACCCCGUAACUUAGGGAGAAGGGGUGCCAAAGUAAAAUUUGGUCGCAGAGAAGAGGCCCAAGCAACUGUUUAACAAAAACACAGGUUUCUGCUAAAUCGAAAGAUGAAGUAUAGGAGCUGACGCCUGCCCAGUGCUGGAAGGUUAAGGGGAAGAGUUAGAUGUAAGUCGAAGCUUAGAACCAAAGCCCCAGUGAACGGCGGCCGUAACUAUAACGGUCCUAAGGUAGCGAAAUUCCUUGUCAGGUAAGUUCUGACCCGCACGAAAGGCGUAAUGAUUUGGGCGCUGUCUCGACAAUGUACUCGGCGAAAUUGUAGUACUAGUGAAGAUGCUAGUUACCUGCGACAAGACAGAAAGACCCCAUGGAGCUUUACUGUAGCUUGAUACUGGGUUUCGAUAAUUUAUGUACAGGAUAGGUGGGAGGCGAAGAAGCAAUUGCGCCAGCAGUUGUGGAGUCAUCCUUGGGAUACCACCCUUAAGUUAUUGAAAUUCUAACCUGUAGUCCUGAGCGGGCUAGGGGACAAUGUCAGGCGGGCAGUUUGACUGGGGCGGUCGCCUCCAAAAGAGUAACGGAGGCGCGCAAAGGUUUCCUCAGCGCGGACAGAAAUCGCGCGAAAGAGUGCAAAGGCAGAAGGAAGCUUAACUGAGAGACUGACAAGUCGACCAGAUACGAAAGUAGGUCUUAGUGAUCCGGCGGUAGUGAGUGGAAAUGCCGUCGCUCAACGGACAAAAGUUACCCUGGGGAUAACAGGCUUAUC
rnacentral:rRNA from 1 species